CCCAGGUGUGGCCAGGAACGCCCAGGUAUAGCCUGGACCCCCCCCAGGUGUGGCCAGGAACGCCCAGGUAUAGCCUGGACCCCCCCAGGUGUGGCCAGGAACUCCCACGUGUAGCCAGGACCCCCACAGGUGUGACCAGGACCCCGUUAGGUGUGGCCCUGGCCCCCCCAGGUAUGGCCUGGACCCCCCCCAGGUGUGGCCCUGAGCCCUGCACCGACCCCACAGUGCAGGGUGGGCUGAGGGCAGGGAGGUCUGUGCAGGACAGAUGUGUAAAUGGACAGGUGUGUAAAUGGACAGGUGUGUGAGGUACAGGUGUGUAAAUGGACAGGUGUGUAAAUGGACAGGUGUGUGAGGUACAGGUGUGUAAAUGGACAGGUGUGUGAGGUACAGGUGUGUAAAUGGACAGGGAUGUAAAUGGACAGGUGUGUGGCAGGUAUGGCAGGUACAGGUGUGUGUCAGGUACAGGUGUACCAGGUACAGGUGUGUACCAGGUACAGGUGUGUUCCAGGUACAGGUGUGCCAGGUACAGGUGUACCAGGUACAGGUGUGUCAGGUACAGGUGUACCAGGUACAGGUGUACCAGGUACAGGUGUGUUCCAGGUACAGGUGUACCAGGUACAGGUGUACCAGGUACAGGUGUGUAUCAGGUACAGGUAUGUCAGGUACAGAUGUGUUCCAGGUACAGGUGUGCCAGGUACAGGUGUGUAUCAGGUACAGGUGUGUUCCAGGUACAGGUGUACCAGGUACAGGUGUGCCAGGUACAGGUGUGUGUCAGGUACAGGUGUACCAGGUACAGGUAUACCAGGUACAGGUGUGUGGCAGGUACAGGUGUGCCAGGUACAGGUGUACCAGGUACAGGUAUGUCAGGUACAGAUGUGUUCCAGGUACAGGUGUACCAGGUACAGGUAUGUCAGGUACAGAUGUGUUCCAGGUACAGGUGUGUAUCAGGUACAGGUGUGUAUCAGGUACAGGUGUGCCAGGUACAGGUGUACCAGGUACAGGUGUGUUCCAGGUACAGGUGUGUCAGGUACAGGUGUGCCAGGUACAGGUGUACCAGGUACAGGUGUGUCAGGUACAGGUAUACCAGGUACAGAUGUGUUCCAGGUACAGGUGUGUCAGGUACAGGUAUACCAGGUACAGGUGUACCAGGUACAGGUGUGGCAGGUACAGGUGUGUCAGGUACAGGUAUACCAGGUACAGGUAUACCAGGUACAGGUGUGUCAGGUACAGGUAUACCAGGUACAGGUGUACCAGGUACAGGUAUGCCAGGUACAGGUGUGUCAGGUACAGGUGUGCCAGGUACAGGUGUACCAGGUACAGGUGUGCCAGGUACAGGUGUGCCAGGUGUGCGGCAGGUACCGUGCAUGUUGUAGUCAAAGGUGAGCUCCUCCCCUGCCCGGAUGGGCCGCGUGGCGAAGAGCGCGAUGCGCGGCAGGCGCUGGUCCAGGUUCUCGAUGAACACGUUGUACACCUGCAGGUUGGGGUCACACUGCCCCGCCCGGCAGGUGAGACACACCUGGCAGGUGAGCCCCACCCCCAUGAGCUCCACCCACGGCACCCGAGACACGCCCACACCUGGGGAACAGGUGCUGGAAGCGCCACCCACACGGCAGGUAAGGCCACACCUCUGCACAGGUAA
rnacentral:lncRNA from 1 species